GAACAGCAGCGAGUUCACCAUGCGCCGGCUGCGCGGCUCAGGGCCCCGGGCCCGCGGCUCCAGAGAAGGUCGCUGAGACCAGAGGAACAACACGCCACCCCAAAAGCGCAUCCCAAAAGCGACAGUCCUAGGCUGCUGGCCUCCUGUGCCAUUUUCCCAUUUGAUCCUCUCCAUAAACCUCAGAGGGGAGGUGGCCCGCACCUUUGAAUGCCUGUGGCUUGCACUGUGUACACUUAACCAGACCUGUGGCAUGUUCCAGAUUCUUCCAGCUGCAUUUUUCAAAUUGCAAUUUAAUUUUGUCUCCUCAA